UUUGUUUUGUUUUUCUUUUUUUUUUUUUUCCCUUUUCUUUUUCUGUAUUACUUUCACGAAUUUAUCUCUUCACCUAAAUUGGUGCGUACAAUCAUUGUUUGCUUAAUUAUAAAAACGAUAUAUAGAAAUAAUAUUGUGCUCUCGUGAUUUAUAUAAGUUUGCUACGAUACUCGUAUAAUUGGUAUAAUUCCAGACAUUCUUUGAGAUGACUCUAUACAUUGAGAGAUGUAUUAGUAAGGUAUACUUAUAACGUCUAUGGUAAAUUGUGUAUUAUAUAUUUAAAGAUAUUAAGGAAAUGCAUUUGAUCUUACUCUCGCAAGAUUUUCGAAAAGAAAUCCGUGGGCGAACUUCGGAUUAAGGAUCUUCUACGAUUAAAUUAUGUAAUUAAAGGAAACGGAAAAAAAAGAAAGGAAAAAAUUAAUACGUAUGGGACAAGCGAAGAAACAAACAAACAAAUAGACAAACAAAAAAGAUAAGAUAAAAUAAAAAUAAAAAUAAAUAUAAAUGAUAGACGUCGAAACACCAAACUUACAGAAUAGCUUAUCACCACUCAGGGAAAUCGGUUUAUUACUCAAAAUUCUGUCGAGUUUUCCUUUGAGUACGUCGAUCAUGGGUCUUUAUAAUAAUAUAAAAAAUUCUAUAUACGUAUAUACAGAUUAUUAAACAUUUUUGAAUAUUAAAAGCGAAACAUUGACGGUCAAUGUAAUCAAUUUUUCAUAUCUUACAGUAAAUCUGAAAUAUUUAGAAAUGGAUAAAAAAUCAUUUCUCUAUAUAUUUCCUCGUAUUAUCGAUACAUCAAGAUACACGAUUGACGACUACUCUAUCGAAAGUUCGUUAGGAUUUCUAAAAUAUGAAGAAAAAGAUGAUUAAAAAAAAGAAAGAAAAAAAAAAAAACAAAAAAAAAAAAAAAGAAAGAAAGAAAAAAAAAGAAAAGAAAAUAUUUGAAUACGUCAAGUGAGAAUAAUUUCAGUAAAAGAUAAACAUCUCAUCGCGUUUGUACUAAUGAAAAAUAUUUUAUGCGUCAGUAUAGUAACUAUAUAUUGUAUUAAAAAUAUAAUGAUUAUACACAUGAAAUAUCCAUUGUAAAAAUUAAAAGAAAAAGGAAAAAAAAUUAAUAAAUAAAAAGAAGCAAGAGAGAGAGAAAGAGAAGAAAAGAGACGAUGAAAAGAUUGACGAGGAUUGUGAUAUACGUCUACUACAGAAAAAAAAGGAAUAAAUAAAUAAAAAUUAAAAAGUCGAAGAGUGUAAGGAUCGGCAAUGAAGAAAAACAGAAAGAAGAGAAAUGAGAAAGAAAGAAAAACCACAGAGCACUGCGACGUUAUUUUUACACAAAUGAUGAUGUUUGCUGCUGAUGAUGAUAAUGACGACGACGAUGAUGAUGAUGAUGAUGAUGAUGAAGACGAUGAUGAUGAUGAUGGUGGUGGUGGUGGUGAUGAUGAUGAUGAUGAUGAUGAUGAUGAUGAUGAUGAUGAUGAUGAUGAUGAACGUGCCAAAUUUUUUGCAAUCGAAUUACCGAACUCCCUCGAUACUUCUCAUAGGAUUUAUCUCGGCUAUUAUGAACGUGUGAUGUAGAUAAGAGAAAUUUUUUUCAGGCGAUAUUAUAAGAAUUUAAUGAAGGAAAAAGAUAAACGGAAAGAAAAAUCAGAAAAAAGAAAUACGAAGGAGAAGAUGAAAGAAAUUAUUACAAAAGUAAAAACACGAUGUCAAUGUUUGUGUCUAUCGUAAUUAAUGUUAAAAAAAUAAAAAAAAAAAAAAAAAGGAAAAUAAGAAAAAAAA